CCUAAUACAUGCAAGUCGAACGAACUCUGGUAUUGAUUGGUGCUUGCAUCAUGAUUUACAUUUGAGUGAGUGGCGAACUGGUGAGUAACACGUGGGAAACCUGCCCAGAAGCGGGGGAUAACACCUGGAAACAGAUGCUAAUACCGCAUAACAACUUGGACCGCAUGGUCCGAGCUUGAAAGAUGGCUUCGGCUAUCACUUUUGGAUGGUCCCGCGGCGUAUUAGCUAGAUGGUGGGGUAACGGCUCACCAUGGCAAUGAUACGUAGCCGACCUGAGAGGGUAAUCGGCCACAUUGGGACUGAGACACGGCCCAAACUCCUACGGGAGGCAGCAGUAGGGAAUCUUCCACAAUGGACGAAAGUCUGAUGGAGCAACGCCGCGUGAGUGAAGAAGGGUUUCGGCUCGUAAAACUCUGUUGUUAAAGAAGAACAUAUCUGAGAGUAACUGUUCAGGUAUUGACGGUAUUUAACCAGAAAGCCACGGCUAACUACGUGCCAGCAGCCGCGGUAAUACGUAGGUGGCAAGCGUUGUCCGGAUUUAUUGGGCGUAAAGCGAGCGCAGGCGGUUUUUUAAGUCUGAUGUGAAAGCCUUCGGCUCAACCGAAGAAGUGCAUCGGAAACUGGGAAACUUGAGUGCAGAAGAGGACAGUGGAACUCCAUGUGUAGCGGUGAAAUGCGUAGAUAUAUGGAAGAACACCAGUGGCGAAGGCGGCUGUCUGGUCUGUAACUGACGCUGAGGCUCGAAAGUAUGGGUAGCAAACAGGAUUAGAUACCCUGGUAGUCCAUACCGUAAACGAUGAAUGCUAAGUGUUGGAGGGUUUCCGCCCUUCAGUGCUGCAGCUAACGCAUUAAGCAUUCCGCCUGGGGAGUACGGCCGCAAGGCUGAAACUCAAAGGAAUUGACGGGGGCCCGCACAAGCGGUGGAGCAUGUGGUUUAAUUCGAAGCUACGCGAAGAACCUUACCAGGUCUUGACAUACUAUGCAAAUCUAAGAGAUUAGACGUUCCCUUCGGGGACAUGGAUACAGGUGGUGCAUGGUUGUCGUCAGCUCGUGUCGUGAGAUGUUGGGUUAAGUCCCGCAACGAGCGCAACCCUUAUUAUCAGUUGCCAGCAUUAAGUUGGGCACUCUGGUGAGACUGCCGGUGACAAACCGGAGGAAGGUGGGGAUGACGUCAAAUCAUCAUGCCCCUUAUGACCUGGGCUACACACGUGCUACAAUGGAUGGUACAACGAGUUGCGAACUCGCGAGAGUAAGCUAAUCUCUUAAAGCCAUUCUCAGUUCGGAUUGUAGGCUGCAACUCGCCUACAUGAAGUCGGAAUCGCUAGUAAUCGCGGAUCAGCAUGCCGCGGUGAAUACGUUCCCGGGCCUUGUACACACCGCCCGUCACACCAUGAGAGUUUGUAACACCCAAAGUCGGUGGGGUAACCUUUUAGGAACCAGCCGCAUAA
rnacentral:rRNA from 2 species